UACAGAGACUGCAAGCGUUGUUCGGAUUCAUUGGGCGUAAAGGGUGCGCAGGCGGUCGGUUAAGUCGGGUGUGAAAUCUCAUAGCCUAACUAUGAUAGGUCAUUCGAAACUAGCCGACUCGAGGACUGGAGAGGAGACUGGAAUGGUUGGUGUAGCAGUGAAAUGCGUAGAGAUCAACCAGAACACCGGUGGCGAAGGCGGGUCUCUGGACAGUUCCUGACGCUCAGGCACGAAAGCUAGGGGAGCAAACGGG
rnacentral:rRNA from 1 species